GUCUUCGUGGUGUAAUGGUCAGCACGCUGGGCGCUUAUUCCAGAGGUGCGUGGUUCGAGUCCCGGCGAAGAAC
rnacentral:tRNA from 1 species